rnacentral:rRNA from 1 species
UUAAGCGACUAAGCGUACACGGUGGAUGCCCUGGCAGUCAGAGGCGAUGAAGGACGUGCUAAUCUGCGAUAAGCGUCGGUGAGGUGAUAUGAACCGUUAUAACCGGCGAUUUCCGAAUGGGGAAACCCAGUGUGUUUCGACACACUAUCAUUAACUGAAUCCAUAGGUUAAUGAGGCGAACCGGGGGAACUGAAACAUCUAAGUACCCCGAGGAAAAGAAAUCAACCGAGAUUCCCCCAGUAGCGGCGAGCGAACGGGGAGGAGCCCAGAGCCUGAAUCAGUGUGUGUGUUAGUGGAAGCGUCUGGAAAGGCGCGCGAUACAGGGUGACAGCCCCGUACACAAAAAUGCACAUAUUGUGAGCUCGAUGAGUAGGGCGGGACACGUGGUAUCCUGUCUGAAUAUGGGGGGACCAUCCUCCAAGGCUAAAUACUCCUGACUGACCGAUAGUGAACCAGUACCGUGAGGGAAAGGCGAAAAGAACCCCGGCGAGGGGAGUGAAAAAGAACCUGAAACCGUGUACGUACAAGCAGUGGGAGCCUCUUAAUGGGGUGACUGCGUACCUUUUGUAUAAUGGGUCAGCGACUUAUAUUCUGUAGCAAGGUUAACCGAAUAGGGGAGCCGAAGGGAAACCGAGUCUUAACUGGGCGUUAAGUUGCAGGGUAUAGACCCGAAACCCGGUGAUCUAGCCAUGGGCAGGUUGAAGGUUGGGUAACACUAACUGGAGGACCGAACCGACUAAUGUUGAAAAAUUAGCGGAUGACUUGUGGCUGGGGGUGAAAGGCCAAUCAAACCGGGAGAUAGCUGGUUCUCCCCGAAAGCUAUUUAGGUAGCGCCUCGUGAAUUCAUCUCCGGGGGUAGAGCACUGUUUCGGCAAGGGGGUCAUCCCGACUUACCAACCCGAUGCAAACUGCGAAUACCGGAGAAUGUUAUCACGGGAGACACACGGCGGGUGCUAACGUCCGUCGUGAAGAGGGAAACAACCCAGACCGCCAGCUAAGGUCCCAAAGUCAUGGUUAAGUGGGAAACGAUGUGGGAAGGCCCAGACAGCCAGGAUGUUGGCUUAGAAGCAGCCAUCAUUUAAAGAAAGCGUAAUAGCUCACUGGUCGAGUCGGCCUGCGCGGAAGAUGUAACGGGGCUAAACCAUGCACCGAAGCUGCGGCAGCGACGCUUAUGCGUUGUUGGGUAGGGGAGCGUUCUGUAAGCCUGUGAAGGUGGCCUGUGAGGGUUGCUGGAGGUAUCAGAAGUGCGAAUGCUGACAUAAGUAACGAUAAAGCGGGUGAAAAGCCCGCUCGCCGGAAGACCAAGGGUUCCUGUCCAACGUUAAUCGGGGCAGGGUGAGUCGACCCCUAAGGCGAGGCCGAAAGGCGUAGUCGAUGGGAAACAGGUUAAUAUUCCUGUACUUGGUGUUACUGCGAAGGGGGGACGGAGAAGGCUAUGUUGGCCGGGCGACGGUUGUCCCGGUUUAAGCGUGUAGGCUGGUUUUCCAGGCAAAUCCGGAAAAUCAAGGCUGAGGCGUGAUGACGAGGCACUACGGUGCUGAAGCGACAAAUGCCCUGCUUCCAGGAAAAGCCUCUAAGCAUCAGGUAACAUCAAAUCGUACCCCAAACCGACACAGGUGGUCAGGUAGAGAAUACCAAGGCGCUUGAGAGAACUCGGGUGAAGGAACUAGGCAAAAUGGUGCCGUAACUUCGGGAGAAGGCACGCUGAUAUGUAGGUGAAGCGACUUGCUCGUGGAGCUGAAAUCAGUCGAAGAUACCAGCUGGCUGCAACUGUUUAUUAAAAACACAGCACUGUGCAAACACGAAAGUGGACGUAUACGGUGUGACGCCUGCCCGGUGCCGGAAGGUUAAUUGAUGGGGUUAGCGGUAACGCGAAGCUCUUGAUCGAAGCCCCGGUAAACGGCGGCCGUAACUAUAACGGUCCUAAGGUAGCGAAAUUCCUUGUCGGGUAAGUUCCGACCUGCACGAAUGGCGUAAUGAUGGCCAGGCUGUCUCCACCCGAGACUCAGUGAAAUUGAACUCGCUGUGAAGAUGCAGUGUACCCGCGGCAAGACGGAAAGACCCCGUGAACCUUUACUAUAGCUUGACACUGAACAUUGAGCCUUGAUGUGUAGGAUAGGUGGGAGGCUUUGAAGUGUGGACGCCAGUCUGCAUGGAGCCGACCUUGAAAUACCACCCUUUAAUGUUUGAUGUUCUAACGUGGGCCCCUUACCGGGGUUGCGGACAGUGUCUGGUGGGUAGUUUGACUGGGGCGGUCUCCUCCUAAAGAGUAACGGAGGAGCACGAAGGUUGGCUAAUCCUGGUCGGACAUCAGGAGGUUAGUGCAAUGGCAUAAGCCAGCUUGACUGCGAGCGUGACGGCGCGAGCAGGUGCGAAAGCAGGUCAUAGUGAUCCGGUGGUUCUGAAUGGAAGGGCCAUCGCUCAACGGAUAAAAGGUACUCCGGGGAUAACAGGCUGAUACCGCCCAAGAGUUCAUAUCGACGGCGGUGUUUGGCACCUCGAUGUCGGCUCAUCACAUCCUGGGGCUGAAGUAGGUCCCAAGGGUAUGGCUGUUCGCCAUUUAAAGUGGUACGCGAGCUGGGUUUAGAACGUCGUGAGACAGUUCGGUCCCUAUCUGCCGUGGGCG